ensembl:miRNA
CUAGGAGGCAGGUGCUCACAUGUCCUCUUCCAUGAUUGGAAAAUACAGGGAGGAGGCCAUAGUGGCAACUGUUACCAUGAUU